UACGUAGGGUGCGAGCGUUAAUCGGAAUUACUGGGCGUAAAGUGUGCGCAGGCGGCCGCGCAAGUCGAGUGUGAAAUCCCCAAGCUUAACUUGGGAAUUGCGCUCGAAACUACGUGGCUGGAGUGUGGCAGAGGAAGGUGGAAUUCCACGUGUAGCGGUGAAAUGCGUAGAGAUGUGGAGGAACACCGAUGGCGAAGGCAGCCUUCUGGGCCAACACUGACGCUCAUGCACGAAAGCGUGGGGAGCAAACAGG
rnacentral:rRNA from 1 species